UACGGAGGAUGCAAGCGUUAUCCGGAAUGAUUGGGCGUAAAGCGUCCGCAGGUGGCUGUGUAAGUCUGCUGUUAAAGAGUGAGGCUCAACCUCAUAAAGGCAGUGGAAACUACAUGGCUAGAGUGCGUUCGGGGCAGAGGGAAUUCCUGGUGUAGCGGUGAAAUGCGUAGAGAUCAGGAAGAACACCGGUGGCGAAAGCGCUCUGCUAGGCCGCAACUGACACUGAGGGACGAAAGCUAGGGGAGCGAGUGGG
rnacentral:rRNA from 1 species